UGCCCUGGCAGUCAGAGGCGAUGAAGGGCGUGCUAAUCUGCGAUAAGCGCCGGUAAGGUGAUAUGAACCGUUAUAACCGGCGAUACCCGAAUGGGGAAACCCAGUGUGAUUCGUCACACUAUCAUUAACUGAAUCCAUAGGUUAAUGAGGCGAACCGGGGGAACUGAAACAUCUAAGUACCCCGAGGAAAAGAAAUCAACCGAGAUUCCCCCAGUAGCGGCGAGCGAACGGGGAGGAGCCCAGAGCCUGAAUCAGCAUGUGUGUUAGUGGAAGCGUCUGGAAAGGCGCGCGAUACAGGGUGACAGCCCCGUACACAAAAGCGCAUGUGCUGUGAGCUCGAUGAGUAGGGCGGGACACGUGGUAUCCUGUCUGAAUAUGGGGGGACCAUCCUCCAAGGCUAAAUACUCCUGACUGACCGAUAGUGAACCAGUACCGUGAGGGAAAGGCGAAAAGAACCCCGGCGAGGGGAGUGAAAAAGAACCUGAAACCGUGUACGUACAAGCAGUGGGAGCACAGGUUUACCUGUGUGACUGCGUACCUUUUGUAU
rnacentral:rRNA from 1 species